AGGUUCCCAGACUGUGUUGUAUAUACUGCUAGUGAAGCUGGAACAAUUUCAGACUGGCUCUGCUCAUGACGAUCCCUAAAUCAAUUAAAUUUAGGAAUCUUUCUUGAAAUUGAAUCAAUACAGCUUGCUGGUGGCAUCCAAGGGAGCAGGUCUAGCUCUGUCUAUACCAAGGCUGUCUGUCUUUGAAAACAUGGACACACAAGCAUUUACCAGCUGAUCAUCAGUAAUUGCCUACAUGGAGCAUUCAUUAUGUUCUUGAUUCAAUGUCCUUCAUAAAAUCAACCCAAGUUAACAGCAUUUACAAUGCCAUUCAAGCAAAAAUGAAACCUAAAAACAUAGAAAUGGGAGUCAAGUCAUACCAGAUACUAUGAGUCUUGUAGAACAAAUGAUAAGCCUGUAUCCUUUCUUUGGAAGAAAGAUGUGCAGCUGUAUUAAGAACAAAAAGAAUUGCAGAGUUGCAGACUGGUUGAGGUUGGAAGGGACCUCUGGAGACCAUCUGGUCCAACCCCACUGGUCAAACAGAGCCAUCUAGAGCUGCUUGCCCAGGAUGAUGUCCAGACAACUUUUGAAGAUCUCCACGGAGAGAGACUCAUAACUGCUCUGCACAACCUAUGCCAGUGUUUAUUCAACUUCACAAUAAAGAAGUGUUUCCUGGUGUUCAGAUGGAACCUCUUGUUUUCCAGUUUGUGCCCGUUGCCUCUCAUCCUGGCAUUGAACACCACUGGAAAGAGCCCGGGUCCAUUCUCCACCCCUCCUCCCCCCUGACAUUGCUUUCCUCCAGUCCUCAGGCAUUUCUCUCAUUCACUGUGAUCUUUGAAGAUAAUGGAGAGUGUUCUUGUAAAGACAAGACUAGGAGAGAUUACAUGAAUCAUGAAGUCCAUCCCCUAUCCACAACCAGAAGCUCCAAGGUUAUAUUUUUCCAGUUCCUGGACCUUGCCCAAAACAUUCCAGAGGUUUCAAGAAAUAUUUAGAAAGUCGAAGGUUUCCAAGGAGGUGGCUAACUAGGACUGAAUACACAACCACAUUUGUGCUGAAUAGCUAGAAAGCAAAGGAAACCCAUUAUGUGGUUUUUAAAACCUUUUGUGAAUUGUGGAAAAGAUACGUAAUGUUUCUGCUGAAGAAAAUCCAUCACAAUUAUCUAUAUGUUUUUUAUUUCACUCCAAGAAUUUUCAACAAUGAAUCUUUAUUGGGACCUUCAUAAAUAAAUAAAUAACCAGCAGUACUGCUGUCAUGGAGAACACUUAUAAAUGAGCUUACUACUACACAGCUGCUCUGAAGACCGCAUGUAUUGCUUGUAAAUAAUUAGUUUUCCACCUCUGACAGGUAGGGUUAUAAAAAUGAUUAU